UGAAGAGUGUGAAGUGAACCACCUAUCACCACGCUACUGCAAUACUUCAUGACACUUUCUUUAGCAUCAGGAAAUUUAUCUCAACAUGUGGAGUAAUGCUGUUGGUUGCUGUGAAUUCCAUUUUCACGGUUUUGUCAUCAUGAACUUUUCAGUAUGCUUCUUAGAAAAGAGUACGCAGUUUCUUUGUGGAAUCGUGUGGUCCUGGCACGGAGAUUCUUGAGCCAACGCUGGCUUUGUCCAUGACCAACGUUCUGCUCCAUCCUUAUCUUCCCGACGUACGCUCAUCCAGCUUCUGCUUCAUCGCUUCGUACACAAAAAUAGAACUUGUCUUACUUCACUGACGAGUUGGAACACUUCAGUGGUCGCUUCCGUGCCGCUGUUACACACCUGCAGUCACUCACCACGGGAUUAUGCCCAGGAAAUGCAGAGGAGACGUCGAGAAGAUGGACACUAAAAAAUCUCCGGUAUCACCAAAAUGUCAGCGCGGAUCAUCAUUUGUUGUUGUUAAUAUGUUGUUGUUUGUGUUAGUUAACCCGUUGACUGUCACGCCUUUGUUCCCCCCUACCUCCUUAGCACGGGCCUCCUAGAGGCCUCCUAAUAGCGUGCUUCCAUCUUCCCCUGUCAGCCCGGACUUGUCAGCAAUGGCAAGUCCCACCUUGGUCAUGGAUCCUUCAGACAUGGCGCGUAGAGAGUAGAGAACAACCUACGGGUUGUAUGGCGUGGCAGCC
rnacentral:lncRNA from 1 species